rnacentral:miRNA from 1 species
GUGGAAGGGAGUUAUUCUUACUA